rnacentral:lncRNA from 1 species
UUUGAUGCAACUUGUGUUGGUUGUCUUCCUUCAUUCGACCUACAAUAUUAAUUAUUAUUAUAAAAUUAAUAAUUUUAUUAUAAUUAUAACAUAUUAUUAUUUUAAUACUAAUAUAUAUAUUUUUGAUUAAAAACUAAAGAAAAUAGAAGUAAUACAUUAAAUUAUUUCAUAAUAUAACUAUAAAGUACAUAAUGUCUUUUUGUUAUAAUUUAAAAUUAUAAUUGAAUACUAAUAUGGAAAUAAUAUGAUUAAUAAUAUAUUAUAAUAUAAUAUAUAGUAAAUACUAUAUAUAUAUCAAUAUGAUAUAAUAUAUAUAAUACUGAUAUAAUGUAUUAGAUAUAUUAAUAUACCAAAUUUUCUGCUGGAUUAAAGGGUAUCUUUGUCCCCAUACUUCAGCCUAGGAUUAUUGCCCUCGGGAGAUCUUGGAUGUCCAAUUUUAAGGACGGAUUUUUCAUCAUUAAGUUGGGGGUGCAAUUUGAGGAGUGGGGGUGAUUUAAGAUCAUUGCCACAUAGAGUCACCAUAUAUGGUACAACCAAAUAUGGUGAUCUCAUUACCUCUACCAUCAUCACUGAUGAUCUUGGGAUGAUCUUCUCAUACCAAAUGCCUUAAUGAAUUUUCCAACUUAUUAAUUGCCUGGAUAUAAAUAAAGAAGAUUGAGCUUUUCUUUUACUCAGUUGUAAGUUCCUCUUUGUAAUGUAUAUUACUAGCAAUGUAGAACAUCAUACUACAUUUCAA